UGGCGGCGUGCUUAACACAUGCAAGUCGAGCGAUGAAGCUCUUCGGAAGUGGAUUAGCGGCGGACGGGUGAGUAACACGUGGGUAACCUGCCUCAUAGAGGGGAAUAGCCUUCCGAAAGGAAGAUUAAUACCGCAUAAGAUUGUAAUAUCGCAUGAUAUAGCAAUUAAAGGAGCAAUCCACUAUGAGAUGGACCCGCGUCGCAUUAGCUAGUUGGUGAGGUAACGGCUCGACCAAGGCGACGAUGCGUAGCCGACCUGAGAGGGUGAUCGGCCACAUUGGGACUGAGACACGGCCCAGACUCCUACGGGAGGCAGCAGUGGGGAAUAUUGCACAAUGGGGGAAACCCUGAUGCAGCCAACGCCGCGUGAGUGAUGACGGUCUUCGGAUUGUAAAGCUCUGUCUUCAGGGACGAUAAUGACGGUACCUGAGGAGGAAGCCACGGCUAACUACGUGCCAGCAGCGGC
rnacentral:rRNA from 1 species